UUGCAGCACGCGACGCAAGAAAUUGUGGCGGGGCAGGAGUGGGUCUCUAACGGCAGGCAGCUGAUCGGAAACCUACCGGGCCUGCCGGCGAGGUUCACGCGCGCUCUGAUGGGGAUUUAUGAAUCUCAAUUUCAGAUCCAACUGUGCCUUGGGCAAAUCCAACUGGCCAUUAAUGCGAUCGAGCCGAUGUUCCAGGCGCCGGUGAUCGAGCCAUUUCCGGAUGUGAUCGCAUCGGUGGCCGAAGCACACGACGUGAUCAACGCAGCUCUUGUGGGCCUUCAUAGCUAUUUGCUGGUUCUUGUCAAGGCCCAAAUCCAUGCUGAAGCCCAGGCCCGAAUUCAAUUGGGAUUGGGUCUCUUUCACCUUGCCUUGCGUCACUGCCAAGAAGCCUUCUCCAUUUUCGAGUUCCUUCACGAUGGCCACGACUGGAUUUGGGGAGAGGCUAACGUGCAAGAGCAAGCCUAGAGCGUCUCUCAAGGUUGCAAAAGGAAACGGGUGUAUAGUGGCUGGGAAUGAUCAUGUCUAAAGUGGCAGCUGAAGUACCAAGUGUAAAGAAGACUUAAAGUAGGCAAGCAUUAAACCAUUUGAUUUUAUUUUUUUUUGUUCAUAAGCAAACAAAGGAGCAACAGCAAACGAGGAAGAUCACAACUUAAAACCUCUAGGACCAUGAUUACUGUUCACUGAUCAUGAUUAAACCAGAUGAUUACUGUGCUGUUGGUUUAUUACUUUAGUAUCUAAUCAGCAUAUGAGAUACUAUUACUUCAUGAUCUUUGUAUGGUUUGUGUUGCGGAUUGAUUACUACUGUUCCCUGAUCAUGGUUAAACCAGAUGAUUACUGUGCUGUUGGUUUUUUACUUUAGUAUGUAAAUCAGAAUACGAGAUACUAUUACUUCAUG